GUGCUAAUGCUAUCGCAGGCAAAUGUGGUGUGAAUGUGAAUAUACCACCUAUUUCUAGAUCCACAGAUUGCUCCACCUUCCAGGUAAUUAAUUUUUGUUUCUUAUUUAUCCCCACAAUGUUGACAGCAAAAGUAUAUGAAAACCACAAAUAUAUGGCUAAUGAAAAUGUUUUUUGUUGUUUAUUUUGUUGCAGAUCAUGUGGAAUCUGCAGAAUGGAAAAUUGGAAUAGAAACUGUAUCUGUAUCGCGUGCUACAAUAAUAAUACUGUAUUGUGUCAAGUUUGUGAUGUUGCAAACAUAUAUAUUUCCAAUGCUAUGAGCCCUACCACUCUUAAAUAUAUGAUUCUCAAUAAACUUGUGGUUUAAUAUAUAAUUACCAGAUCUUGUGGAAUUAUAUGGGGUUUUUGUUUUUUUAGUCUAUAUGACCCAAAAAAAAAUCAUAAUCACGAACGAAAUAAUAAUUGAAGCAAGGUCGAGAUAUUGAUCAAAGGGAUGUACUGUAGUGAGAUGGAUGAAAGUGAUUCUAAGAUGAGUGCAUGUACUUGUGAUGAACUGCUGAUACAAAUACUUAUAUACAUAAGUGAUCGAUGAACUGAUGAACUGCUGAUACAUUCUAAGAUGGUUGUAUUGUGUUUAAAGGGGUAUAUUGUGGGAUGGGAAACAUGCAAUAUGGAACUGGAAUUUCAUUUUACGCAUGUCAUUUCUUACCAACACUUACUGUACUGGUAUAGUGGUAUCUAAUUAUCUAUGCGCCACAACCCUACCCGGGCCUAAGCCUGGCUACACCAUAAAACCGAUGUUUAUCAAAUUUUAAAGUCGUCUGUGGGAGUGGCAUGGUGUUACAAUUACUAAACAGAUCAACAUGAUUACAUAAAAAUCUCACACAGAGUCAAUAUGAUAUGAACCCAAUGAAUUUUAUAUGUGUAGCUUACUUGUAUAUGAGUGUGUACACCCAAUCACAAAAUGUCAUGUGGCAAUAAUAAUAUAACCUAUGUAUGGACUUGGUUAACCCCAGUGGGCUUAUCAGUUACCCAACCACUUUAUAAGCACGUGGCAUCUUAUGAUUGGGUGUACACACACCACAUACAAGUAGGCUACACAUACAUUUUUUUGGCAUUCAUACGGCCAUCCGUAAUUGAAAUCUAAGGAACAUGAACCAUGCAUGGUAAACAAACUACUUUAUUUACUGACGUAUAAAUUACCCCAAGUACAACUACAACACAAGCAUCAAGUGAAACGGCACAAAAAAUUGAUCCCUCUGCUCCCAAUAAUCCAUUAUUGACAUUGUUUUUUCCGAAAAAGAUGGUAUGUGUCCUUGCGAUUCUAUAGUUCAAGACGUACUUAAUCCCAUGCCUCUUAUACUUCAAAGAUUCUCAGCCCAAACCAACGAGCACUUGUUGUCAGGGUGCUCACUUUACGGCCAAUGUUGCAAGUUUGCAACUCAAACCAAUGAUCUAAUGGGUAUCUGUUAGUGUAUCAAGACUGCCGCGACCAAUAAUGGAGGAGUUCUUGAUGACAAUUGUGCUAUUGCUCUUGCAGACAAUUGUGGUGUGAAUGUGAAUAUACCACCUAUUUCUAGAUCCACAGACUGUUUCACCUUCCAGGUAAUCCAGUUUUGCUUCUUAUUUUCCCCCACAAUGUUGAUAGCAAAAAGUAUAUAGAGAAAUACAUGAUUAAUGAAAAUGUUUUUGUUGUUUGGUUUAUUUGCAGGUCAUGUGGAAUGUGCAGAAUGGAAAAUUGGAAUAGAAGAG
rnacentral:lncRNA from 1 species